rnacentral:rRNA from 1 species
CUACGGGUCGCUCCAGCAAGGAAUUUUGCGCAAUGGGCGAAAGCCUGACGCAGCGACGCCGCGUGAGGGAUGAAGGCUUUCGAGUUGUAAACCUCUUUUCCUGAGGAAGAAUAAUGACGGUACUCAGGGAAUAAGUCUUGGCUAACUACGUGCCAGCAGCCGCGGUAAUACGUAGAAGGCAAACGUUAUUCGGAUUUACUGGGCGUAAAGCGGGUGUAGACGGCUUCUUAAGUCGGUUGUGAAAUCUCCUGACUUAAUUAGGAGAGGUCAAUCGAAACUAAGAAGCUAGAGGGCAGCAGAAGAAAACGGAAGUCCCGGUGUAGCGGUGAUAUGCGUAGAUAUCGGGAGGAAUACCAGUGGCGAAGGCGGUUUUCUAGGUUGCUCCUGACGUUGAUGCCCAAAAGCGUGGGGAGCGAAACGGAUUAGAUACCCUCGUAGUC